rnacentral:rRNA from 1 species
UACGUAGGGAGCAAGCGUUGUCCGGAAUCAUUGGGCGUAAAGCGCGCGUAGGUGGCCUCAUAAGUCCGCUGUGAAAGUCCAAGGCUCAACCUUGGAAAGCCGGUGGAUACUGUGAGACUAGAGUACGGAAGAGGCGAGUGGAAUUCCUGGUGUAGCGGUGGAAUGCGCAGAUAUCAGGAGGAACACCAAUAGCGAAGGCAGCUCGCUGGGACGUUACUGACACUGAGGCGCGAAAGCGUGGGGAGCGAACAGG